UAUUGUAGAUGUUGGAGCAUAAAAAGCAUUUUUGUAUCACGCAUAAAUGGUAUUCUUAAUUAUAGAUAUGAGCUAGUCAUUCGAUUAUGAAGAAACUACGAUGAUGUAAAGAUUGAAAACAUAUUGUGACAACACCAAAUGGAAUUUGAACCAACAAUUAGACGAUGAAGUGAACUGAUUGGACGCUGACGAAUUGACGAACUGACUUUAAGCCGAAUUGACGCUUGGAAGCUGACAAACGGAGAGGCUGUGGCGCACGAACGAACAUUGAAGAACGAGAAAGAAGAACGAAUGUUGAAGAACGAGGAAGACGAACGUAUGAACCAACCUAUCACUGGGUGAUGGGAGAAAAUCAGGGAAGAGGAAAAAAAUGGGGGGAAAACAAGGUUUUUUAGAAAUGGAGGGAGAAAAGGGAAAUAUGCGAAAAUCAAAAGAGAUAAUUUUUUAUUUUUUUUUUAGAAAAUGGUGGAAAUAUAUAUUAGUUGAUAUUUAAAAAAUGUCAAGUGAUUACAAUUAAUCUGGACGAUUUUAACCAUUCAAGUAUUUAAACAAAAAACAAAAAAUUUGUCUUUUUCUACUCUUUUAUUAUUCUUGACGUUUUUAUGUUACUUGACAGUUUUUAUUAGAUCAUUCAAGUAUUUAAAUAAAAAACAAAAAAAUUGUCUUUUUCUACUCUUUUAUUAUUCUUGACGUUUUUAUGUUACUUGACAGUUUUUAUUAGAAGCGUCAAGUAUUUCAAAUCUACAACCGUCAAGUUUUGCCAAUUUUGUAGUAGUCUUAAUGGUAUGUUUAGUUUCUUUGUUUGUGAUAACUAAUAUACUUUACCAAGUAUAAAAUAAUUAGUUAAUUUGUUUUCUUUUAAAAAUUUUGAUAUGAUUUUGAUGACAUGUAUAUUAUAUUUUACAUGGUAUAUUGAUUGUACAAUAGAUAUAUAUUCCCAAUGAGGGAAAAUGUGUCGCAAACCUCUCUUUGCCCAACAAAAAUAAUCUACAAACUUGAAUCCUACUACUACCGUAAAGAUAUAGCAAUAGUGGUAAGUUUGGGGCCGAAUCAUUAGAAGAAGUUGACAAUUAUGCUAAAUUGAGUUGUUAUAGACGUAUUUAAAUAAUAUGUAUAAUUAAAGUGUGGAUUAUGUAUGUGAAUUAAUAGUUUAGCACGUUAGGUUAUUUAUUAAUUGGGUCUAUUAUGUGAUCUAUUUAGUUAAUGCACAAGAUUCCUAAUUGAGUAUGUACUAAAUGGAUAGAAGUUUAUUCCUAGAUUGAUUAGAAUUUAGUGAGAAUCUUAAUUGAACUAGUAUAUAAAAAGACUUAAGGUUGUUGUUCCCAAAAAUAUACCAAAACAAUAAUAAGCACUCAGACUUUCUUGUAUCUCAUCAAGAGAAAGACUUUCUUGUAUCUCAUCAAGAGAAAGAUUCCACUAGAAAGAUCUCACUAAAGGUAUUCAAAGUUUUGGUUAAGAAAGACAAAUAGUCAUUUUAUAGUCAUCAUCAAUUACUCAGAGAUGGAAUCUGGUAUAUAACUUUAUUCUUGACAAUUUGAUAUGAAUGAUGUUGAGCUAAUUUAUUAUAUAUUUAAGCUCUAUAUUUACUAUUUAUAAGGUCUUUAUAAAAAGAUCUCAAAAAUAGUAAAUAUGAUUUGAAAAAAAUUCCCGUAAACAAUCUCUACCAUAAGGACUAUUCAUGAGUCUUUUAUCAAAUUCUAAUUAUACGUUAUAAAAACUAAAUUUUAAUAACUAGUACGACGACAUUUAUAAUUUAACAAAAGAAAUUAAUUUAUUUUUGUUUAAUUAAAUGAAAAUAAAAUAAAAGGUAGAUUAACUUAAGCUUUUAAUCUUGCUUCAUUGAUGGAAGAAAAUUAGAGUAGGACAAAGGCAAACUACUCCUUCAAACAAAUUCAUAAAUAUUAUCAAAUUUGAUCUAUUCUUCAAAUUCAUAGCCUUAAAAGUAAUAUAUAUAUUCACUCUACUUUAAUAUAUUUUUUAAUCGAUAUAAUUGCAUGAUUGGAUUGCAUUCAUAUAAUAAAAUAGACAGAUUGAUUGUUCCAAAAUGAGGCAAUUGAAAAAUGGAAGCAAGUAGUGGGUAUGGUCCACACUGAUUGGGAGUUGAAGUAUGAAUUAAUGACACUCCAAGAUUGACCAUUUUGGUCAUUUUCAAUGUUUAUUCAACGAAAACCAAAGUACAUACAUUAAGCAUAUUUAGAGGGUUUUUUAUCUUAUCAUUUUUCAAUUCACUCAUUUAUUAUUUUAAUUAUUUUCUUAAUUUAUUCAUUUGGGUUCAAUCAUUUUUUAAAAGAGAGAUGAUCAAUCUACAUCUUAUCCAGAAACUAGCUUAUGUCAUAACCUUGUAUUUUUCUGUUCAUUAUCUUUAUUUUCUUUAUUAAAUUACAAUUUUCAUUUUUAUAUCAACUUAUUUCUUCUUCUAAUUUUAUAUCAACUUAUUUCAUCUUCUAAUCUUAUGGCAGAUACGUUUUACUCUAACUGCAACUAAACAAAUUUAGUAAUCAACAUGUAUAACAAUCCUAAUUGAAACAAAGAUAUGGUUAAAAGAAAAACUCACAUUUGAUGCUUUUCUCUUCUUGUAAUCUCCUCACGAAACCGAAGCCGGUACUACCACUAGUGUAGACCCGCUAUUCUCCGGACUUGGAAUCGAGUUGUGGGACUCGAAUGGUGGAUGAAAAAAAAGAUAGAGAUAAUACCCUUUCUUUUUGGAGGAAUCUAACCUUUUGAUUUUUUUUUUCUUUUUGUUGAGAGUAAAAAAAUACUUUGAUUAUUUUGUAAUUCACAUUUCAAAAUAAAAAGUUCUUUCAUCUUUGCAAAAAAAAUCAUUUUACAAGCGAACUACAUGCAAGAGCUUCCUUAUCUCACCACUUGACAUUAUUAGUGGGAUAGAUGUCUUGCAUGCAAUAAGCGAC
rnacentral:lncRNA from 1 species